CCUACGGGGCGCAGCAGUGGGGAAUAUUGCACAAUGGGCGCAAGCCUGAUGCAGCCAUGCCGCGUGUGUGAAGAAGGCCUUCGGGUUGUAAAGCACUUUCAGCGAGGAGGAAGGCGGUGAGGUUAAUAACCUCAUCGAUUGACGUUACCCGCAGAAGAAGCACCGGCUAACUCCGCGCCAGCAGCCGCGGUAAUACGGAGGGUGCAAGCGUUAAUCGGAAUUACUGGGCGUAAAGCGCACGCAGGCGGUCUGUCAAGUCGGAUGUGAAAUCCCCGGGCUCAACCUGGGAACUGCAUUCGAAACUGGCAGGCUAGAGUCUUGUAGAGGGGGGUAGAAUUCCAGGUGUAGCGGUGAAAUGCGUAGAGAUCUGGAGGAAUACCGGUGGCGAAGGCGGCCCCCUGGACAAAGACUGACGCUCAGGUGCGAAAGCGUGGGGAGCAAACAGGAUUAGAUACCCGGGAGU
rnacentral:rRNA from 1 species